rnacentral:rRNA from 1 species
GGCUCAGAUUGAACGCUGGCGGCAGGCCUAACACAUGCAAGUCGAACGGUAACAGGAAACAGCUUGCUGUUUCGCUGACGAGUGGCGGACGGGUGAGUAAUGUCUGGGAAACUGCCUGAUGGAGGGGGAUAACUACUGGAAACGGUAGCUAAUACCGCAUAACGUCGCAAGACCAAAGAGGGGGACCUUCGGGCCUCUUGCCAUCGGAUGUGCCCAGAUGGGAUUAGCUAGUAGGUGGGGUAACGGCUCACCUAGGCGACGAUCCCUAGCUGGUCUGAGAGGAUGACCAGCCACACUGGAACUGAGACACGGUCCAGACUCCUACGGGAGGCAGCA